rnacentral:misc_RNA from 1 species
GAAACGCGAUAAGUAAUGUGAAUUGCAGAAUUCAGUGAAUCAUCGAAUCUUUGAACGCACAUUGCGCCCGCCAGUAUUCUGGCGGGCAUGCCUGUUCGAGCGUCAUUUCAACCAUCAAGCCCCCGGCUUGUGUUGGGGACCUGCGGCUGCCCGCAGGCCCUGAAAAACAGUGGCGGGCUCGCUGUCACACCGAGCGUAGUAGCAUACAUUCUCGCUCAGGGCGUGCUGCGGGUUCCGGCCGUUAAACGACCUUCAUAACCCAAGGUUGACCUCGGAUCAGGUAGGAAGACCCGCUGAACUUAAGC